UACAGAGGGUGCGAGCGUUAAUCGGAUUUACUGGGCGUAAAGCGUGCGUAGGCGGCUUUUUAAGUCGGAUGUGAAAUCCCUGAGCUUAACUUAGGAAUUGCAUUCGAUACUGGAAGGCUAGAGUAUGGGAGAGGAUGGUAGAAUUCCAGGUGUAGCGGUGAAAUGCGUAGAGAUCUGGAGGAAUACCGAUGGCGAAGGCAGCCAUCUGGCCUAAUACUGACGCUGAGGUACGAAAGCAUGGGGAGCAAACAGG
rnacentral:rRNA from 1 species